AACUUGGAGCGUUGGAGGGCUCCUCUCUUGACUCUCGGCCGAGGCCGCCCUCGCUGCCCUGGCCUACCCCGGCGGUGCCUAGAUUUAUGGGUCCCUGGGCAGCACUCGCCCAGCCCCGCCCUGCGACUCCCCACCCCUCCAGGGGCCCGCUCCGGCGCACACCUGGGAGACUGAGCUGAACAGGCGGUUGGGGAGGCCGAGAUGGGAUCAGAAGGCAUUUUCCGAUUUCCCGGUAAUUAGCCAACCAGUGAUGGCAGCAGUUAUCAAGGAAACAGCUGUAAACUCUUGCCUUCUUUCAGCCAAGUUUUGAGAGCAGAUACAAUGUUGCCUCAUUAAAAAUCGUGAAGACUAUUUUCUUAGAUUCUUUUUCCUGAGCAGCCUGACUUCUGGCCCACCGAACGUGCAUCGUACAUCUGUCUCAAAUAUUUUCCCAAAGCAAAUGCACUCUUUAAAGAUAGAGAUGAGUGUCUCCCUUUCUCUGGCGCAGAUACCAGUACUUCUUUGACGAUAAUAAGCUUUUCUUCCCAGGGAACCAAGGUCAAGUUGACCUGCUGUGUAUGUGCUAAACGGUGGCAAAACAUCUUCUUGUGACUUUGGAAAAAAAAUUGUAUUCUUAUCAUGCUUAAUGUAUAGUCUUUCUUCUGAAACGGUAUAUAACCAUGCGGUAAACCACACUUCCCUGGAGUGCUUUCUUCCCUGGUGGUGAUAGGGCUUCCAGGCUAGUCCUCAGCUCAAUAAAUAUCACUCUUUCUUAUCUAUAGAUUUUGGUUAUUAUUUGUGGCAACACGUAUUAAACUGGAGAGCUGGUGGCAAACUAUUACCCUUUAGUUACAGACGUGGGUCAGUUUCUGGCCCACCGAACGUGCAUCGUACAUGCAUUACAGUGCAAUAUGCAUUACAGUGCAACUGUAAACAGAUGUUUACAGUUAUAAAAAUGUGGUCCAUGAAAGUCUGGCAGAGACUAAUCCAGCAUACAUUAGAUGCAUAGUGAAAAUCUGUCACACUGAGGGUACGGUGAUUGUCGUUCUUUUGCUGAGCAGCAGCACAGUAUAGAAGCAA